GUCACCAGGCGGCCCCAGCCCUGCGCUUCUGUCCCUCUCCCCCGCAGCAGGAUCCGCGGCUUUCCUCGACAGAGCGGGUGUCUGCGAGGGUUUCCGCGGAAUACUGAAAGAGGAGCUCGUCACCUGUCACAGGAGCGAUGACAGACGUCCGUGUGGCACGGGGCCUGGGGCUGAGAGGUGCUGAGAGACAAGGGACGUUCACAGCAAGACUCUCCUCCCGCCGGCUCACGCACACGGGCACCCUGUCUAGAAGCAGGACCCGCCAUCUGCUCCAGAGUCUGCUCUCCCUCCCAGCAAGAUAAGGGGGAGCAGGUGAAGAAGGUGGCUGUCCCCUCGGGAGGACGUCAGAAGGGACGUGGGGCCUCCCUGGGUGCACGGCCAGCUGCAGGAGCCCCGGCCCAGGCAGAUGCAGGUCUCCAGAGGGGGCCAGUAUGCGCGCAGCACAGGACAGAGCCGGGAGGCUGGGCUGCAGCGUCCACAGACCCGCAGAGCAGUGGCAGGGCUGGGGAGGGGCAGCAGUGACGGCCAGCCUGGGGGUCUCCGAGGUGUCAGCAUCUCACGCCAUGUGACCAGCCUGAGCCUGCUCCUGCGUUAGCUCCUGGCCGGCAGGGAGCGGGGCUGCAGCGGGCCACCCAGGACGCCGUCGGCACGUCCACCCUGCAGGACCUUCUGUAGAGCAGCCUCCUGUGUCCACCAGAAGUUGCAAGGAUGAGACGAGUGUCCACGAUGCAGUGGCCACAGCCCGAUUGCCUGGGGUGGGCUGAGGAGGGGCCACUGAGGAGGGAGGUCACUGGUCAGCCAGGGCAAGAUCCUCUGCUGCAUGGACCGUGGCCAGUGCCUGACCAGCUCUGGGCCACACGAGUGGCAGCAACAGUCUUCUGUUAGGAGAGAGGGACAAGAGGACCUGGGUCGGGCUCCAGGGGGCAGCAGCUGUGUGUGGACAUGAAGUGGACGCUGGCAAUUAUUAAAAUCUGUGUGUGGCCUGCUGUGCACGGGCUGUGUGUGCUGUGCACAGGGGGUGGCGUGUGCAUAGGUGGGGCAUUCUGUACCUAGUGUGCACGUGUGCCGUGUGGCGACACAGGUGUGCUGCUGCACGUGACAGUCUGUGUGUGGUGCUGGGUGUGCCUGGUGUGUGUUAUAUGUGCAUGGCACAUGCUGGGUGUGCCCGGUGUGUGCUGGGUGUGCACGGCGAGUGCUGUGCCUGC
rnacentral:lncRNA from 1 species